GUGCGAUAACUAGUGUGAAUUGCAUAUUCAGUGAAUCAUCGAGUCUUUGAACGCAACUUGCACUCAUUGGUAUUCCAAUGAGUACGCCUGUUUCAGUAUCAAAACCAACCCUCAUUCAAACAUUUUUUUUGUUUGGAUGGACUAUGAGGAUGACCGGCGCCUUCACCAGUGCUGGUAAUCCUUUAAAUGUGACAAAAUGGCCUGGAUUAACUUUUUUGUUUGAUCUUUUUGACCGACACUUUUUUUUAAUAUAAAGGAAAGGGCCUGGACAGAAGGUUUAGAAGAGUUUACAGUUGGGGCCUCCCAAAUAAAACUAAAUUUUAUUUUUAAAAUUUGAUCUGAAAUCAGGCGGGAUUACCCGCUGAACUUAA
rnacentral:misc_RNA from 1 species